GAGGGUAUAGCUCAGUGGUAGAGUGUGUGUUUAGCAUGCAUGAGAUCCUGGGUUCAAUCCCUAGUAUCUCCA
rnacentral:tRNA from 1 species